rnacentral:rRNA from 1 species
CCGGCGAUGUCCGAAUGGGGAAACCCAGUGCAAUUCGUUGCACUAUCGUUAACUGAAUACAUAGGUUAACGAGGCGAACCGGGGGAACUGAAACAUCUAAGUACCCCGAGGAAAAGAAAUCAACCGAGAUUCCCCCAGUAGCGGCGAGCGAACGGGGAGCAGCCCAGAGUCUGAAUCAGCUUGUGUGUUAGUGGAACGGUCUGGAAAGUCCGACGGUACAGGGUGAUAGUCCCGUACACCAAAAUGCACAGGCUGUGAACUCGAAGAGUAGGGCGGGACACGUGGUAUCCUGUCUGAAUAUGGGGGGACCAUCCUCCAAGGCUAAAUACUCCUGACUGACCGAUAGUGAACCAGUACCGUGAGGGAAAGGCGAAAAGAACCCCGGCGAGGGGAGUGAAAAAGAACCUGAAACCGUGUACGUACAAGCAGUGGGAGCACCUUCGGGUGUGACUGCGUACCUUUUGUAUAAUGGGUCAGCGACUUAUAUUCUGUAGCAAGGUUAACCGUAUAGGGGAGCCGCAGGGAAACCGAGUCUUAACUGGGCGUUAAGUUGCAGGGUAUAGACCCGAAACCCGGUGAUCUAGCCAUGGGCAGGUUGAAGGUUGGGUAACACUAACUGGAGGACCGAACCGACUAAUGUUGAAAAAUUAGCGGAUGACUUGUGGCUGGGGGUGAAAGGCCAAUCAAACCGGGAGAUAGCUGGUUCUCCCCGAAAGCUAUUUAGGUAGCGCCUCGUGAACUCAUCUUCGGGGGUAGAGCACUGUUUCGGCUAGGGGGUCAUCCCGACUUACCAACCCGAUGCAAACUACGAAUACCGAAGAAUGUUAUCACGGGAGACACACGGCGGGUGCUAACGUCCGUCGUGAAGAGGGAAACAACCCAGACCGCCAGCUAAGGUCCCAAAGUCAUGGUUAAGUGGGAAACGAUGUGGGAAGGCACAGACAGCCAGGAUGUUGGCUUAGAAGCAGCCAUCAUUUAAAGAAAGCGUAAUAGCUCACUGGUCGAGUCGGCCUGCGCGGAAGAUGUAACGGGGCUAAACCAUGCACCGAAGCUGCGGCAGCGACACUAUGUGUUGUUGGGUAGGGGAGCGUUCUGUAAGCCUGCGAAGGUGUGCUGUGAGGCAUGCUGGAGGUAUCAGAAGUGCGAAUGCUGACAUAAGUAACGAUAAAGCGGGUGAAAAGCCCGCUCGCCGGAAGACCAAGGGUUCCUGUCCAACGUUAAUCGGGGCAGGGUGAGUCGACCCCUAAGGCGAGGCCGAAAGGCGUAGUCGAUGGGAAACAGGUUAAUAUUCCUGUACUUGGUGUUACUGCGAAGGGGGGACGGAGAAGGCUAUGUUAGCCGGGCGACGGUUGUCCCGGUUUAAGCAUGUAGGCUGGUUAUCUGGNNNNNNNNNNNNNNNNNNNNNNNNNNNNNNNNNNNNNNNNNNNNNNNNNNNNNNNNNNNNNNNNNNNNNNNNNNNNNNNNNNNNNNNNNNNNNAUCCAGGCAAAUCCGGAUAAUCAAGGCUGAGGUGUGAUGACGAGGCACUACGGUGCUGAAGUAACAAAUGCCCUGCUUCCAGGAAAAGCCUCUAAGCAUCAGGUAACAUCAAAUCGUACCCCAAACCGACACAGGUGGUCAGGUAGAGAAUACCAAGGCGCUUGAGAGAACUCGGGUGAAGGAACUAGGCAAAAUGGUGCCGUAACUUCGGGAGAAGGCACGCUGGUGUGUAGGUGAAGUCCCUGCGGAUGGAGCUGAGACCAGUCGAAGAUACCAGCUGGCUGCAACUGUUUAUUAAAAACACAGCACUGUGCAAACACGAAAGUGGACGUAUACGGUGUGACGCCUGCCCGGUGCCGGAAGGUUAAUUGAUGGGGUUAUCCGUAAGGAGAAGCUCUUGAUCGAAGCCCCGGUAAACGGCGGCCGUAACUAUAACGGUCCUAAGGUAGCGAAAUUCCUUGUCGGGUAAGUUCCGACCUGCACGAAUGGCGUAAUGAUGGCCAGGCUGUCUCCACCCGAGACUCAGUGAAAUUGAACUCGCUGUGAAGAUGCAGUGUACCCGCGGCAAGACGGAAAGACCCCGUGAACCUUUACUAUAGCUUGACACUGAACAUUGAGCCUUGAUGUGUAGGAUAGGUGGGAGGCUUUGAAGCGUGGACGCCAGUCUGCGUGGAGCCAACCUUGAAAUACCACCCUUUAAUGUUUGAUGUUCUAACGUUGGCCCCUUACCGGGGUUGCGGACAGUGUCUGGUGGGUAGUUUGACUGGGGCGGUCUCCUCCCAAAGCGUAACGGAGGAGCACGAAGGUUAGCUAAUCCUGGUCGGACAUCAGGAGGUUAGUGCAAUGGCAUAAGCUAGCUUGACUGCGAGCGUGACGGCGCGAGCAGGUGCGAAAGCAGGUCAUAGUGAUCCGGUGGUUCUGAAUGGAAGGGCCAUCGCUCAACGGAUAAAAGGUACUCCGGGGAUAACAGGCUGAUACCGCCCAAGAGUUCAUAUCGACGGCGGUGUUUGGCACCUCGAUGUCGGCUCAUCACAUCCUGGGGCUGAAGUAGGUCCCAAGGGUAUGGCUGUUCGCCAUUUAAAGUGGUACGCGAGCUGGGUUUAGAACGUCGUGAGACAGUUCGGUCCCUAUCUGCCGUGGGCGCUGGAGAAUUGAGGGGGGCUGCUCCUAGUACGAGAGGACCGGAGUGGACGCAUCACUGGUGUUCGGGUUGUCAUGCCAAUGGCACUGCCCGGUAGCUAAAUGCGGAAGAGAUAAGUGCUGAAAGCAUCUAAGCACGAAACUUGCCCCGAGAUGAGUUCUCCCUGAGACUUUAAGUCUCCUGAAGGAACGUU